UACGUAGGGUGCAAGCGUUGUCCGGAAUUAUUGGGCGUAAAGAGCUCGUAGGCGGUCUGUCGCGUCGGCUGUGAAAACUCGGGGCUCAACCCCGAGCCUGCAGUCGAUACGGGCAGACUAGAGUGCUGUAGGGGAGACUGGAAUUCCUGGUGUAGCGGUGAAAUGCGCAGAUAUCAGGAAGAACACCCGUGGCGAAGGCGGUUCUCUGGGACGGUACUGACGCUGAGACGCGAAAGCGUGGGGAGCGAACAGG
rnacentral:rRNA from 1 species